rnacentral:tRNA from 1 species
GUAGACAUGGUUUAACUAAAACAUUAGAUUGUGAUUCUAAAAUCGAGGGUUAAAAUCCCCCUGUCCACC